rnacentral:lncRNA from 1 species
CGUGGCGGGGGGGAGCGCAACCUAACCUGCUGCCUGGCCCGCGGCGACCAAUCGGUACGCGAGUGCCGGCACGACUGACACCUCCGCCCAGCCAGUCAGCGCUCCCGAGCUGCGAAGACGGCCCCCUAGCGCUCUAAAAUCUGGCCAAUCAGAGGCGCCGCACGUUUGACCGACGUUUGCGCCUUCCAAUAGGAGGGGGGCAUAGCGGACCGGCUUUGCCUAUCGAGAACUAGACGUGCGUCGGGAGGAGAGGGGCGGGCCCAGACGGCGACGGGAGGCGGAGCCCGCCCUGAGUGGCGGCGCUGCGAGCCAAUGGGUGCGGGCCGGCGGGGCGGGGGGGCCGGGGGCCAAUGAGGGGGCCCUGCGAGGCGACGGCGGCCGCCUCUGAAAGUGCCGCGAGCCGGCGGCGCCCAGCGCGGGGCAGGGGAAGAUGAGAGAGCAGCAUAAGAAAGAAGUGUUGAGAGCUGCUCUUAACCCUUUUGGAGGCCGAAGUCAAAAGGGAACUAGAGGGCUUGACGCAUCCUUUACAUCCUGCAUUUACUGUGACCACAGUCCCUCCCUGUUCUCACAAGUGGAGCUCAGCCCUGCUUCCCUUCCUGUUGAUUCCCAGUCAGCUACAUGA